GAUGAAGAACGUAGCGAAAUGCGAUAAUUAAUGUGAAUUGCAGAAUUCCGUGAAUCAUCGAGUCUUUGAACGCACAUUGCGCCUCAUGGCAUUCCGUGAGGCAUGCCCAUCUCAGCGUUAGAAAAUAUUCUCAAAUUUUAGUUUUGUGCUAAAAUUUGGAUCAUGUCAAGGAAGCUAUUACUAUUAUUGUGAUCGCUCUUUGGAAAUUGAUAGGUCUUUGAGUUGCUACUCAUAGAACGUGAUGAAUCUUUCUUCGUUCUAUUGUAAUUCACUCUGGUAGUCCUAAAACUUGUAUGCCUGUGGCAUAUCUUGUAAUUUGACCUGAGAUUGGGUAGGGAUACCCGCUGAACUUAAGCAUAUCAAUAGCGGAGGA
rnacentral:misc_RNA from 1 species